UUCUUCUCUCUUUAUACCGUCUGAUUCCUUACAACCAUUUUUCCCUUGUUCCUUUUUCACCUCUAGUCUAUAUAAAGUUUCUUGCUUUUCUACUUCAAGAACAAACCCCAUUAGAUUAAUUUCCAAAAAGAUCACUUUUUUACUCUGUGAAAAGAGUUUUAGAAGAGAACCCAUCAAUAAAAGAACCUUAAUUAGUAGUAAGAUGACAAUUACUGAGUACAGAGAUGAAGAGGAAGAAGAGUAUCCUCCUCUUUUACUUGAAUCUGAGAUGAAAGAGCCUAGGCGUAUUGCUCUCUUUGUUGAG
rnacentral:misc_RNA from 1 species